AAGUCGUAACAAGGUCUCCGUUGGUGAACCAGCGGAGGGAUCAUUACCGAGUUGCAAAACUCCCACCAUUGUGAACCUACCUAGACUGUUGCUUCGGCGGGGGGCGCUGCCCUGUUUCCUCUAGAAACACCCGCCGGAGGCACCUAAACUCUGUAUUACUGGCCUCUCUGAGUAACUUAUUCAAUAAGUCACAACUUUCAACAACGGAUCUCUUGGCUCUGGCAUCGAUGAAGAACGCAGCGAAAUGCGAUACGUAAUGUGAAUUGCAGAAUCCAGUGAAUCAUCGAAUCUUUGAACGCACAUUGCGCCCGCUAGUAUUCUGGCGGGCAUGCCUGUCCGAGCGUCAUUUCAACUAUCAAGCCCUAGGCUUGCGUUGGGGAUCUGCGGCUGCCGCAGCCCCCUAAAUUCAGUGGCGGGCUCGUCGUCGUACCGAGUGUAGUAAAUAUCCUCGCUCAGGAAACGCGGUGGGUUCCGGCCGUUAAAUGCCUAAUUAUCUAAGGUUGACCUCGGAUCAGGUAGGAAUACCCGCUGAACUUAA
rnacentral:rRNA from 1 species